UACGUAGGGGGCUAGCGUUGUCCGGAAUCAUUGGGCGUAAAGCGCGUGUAGGCGGCCCGGUAAGUCCGCUGUGAAAGUCGGGGGGCUCAACCCUCGGAUGCCGGUGGAUACUGUCGGGCUCGAGUACGGAAGAGGCGAGUGGAAUUCCCGGUGUAGUGGUGAAAUGCGUAGAUAUCGGGAGGAACACCAGUGGCGAAGGCGACUACCUGGCCGUGUUCUUGACGCUGAGGCGCGAAAGCUAGGGGAGCAAACGGG
rnacentral:rRNA from 1 species